UUUAUGGAGAGUUUGAUCCUGGCUCAGGACGAACGCUGGCGGCGUGCCUAAUACAUGCAAGUCGAGCGGAUCUUCUCCUUCGGGGGAAGGUUAGCGGCGGACGGGUGAGUAACACGUAGGCAACCUGCCCACAAGACCGGGAUAACAUUCGGAAACGAAUGCUAAGACCGGAUACGCAAGCCUGGGGCAUCUCGGGCUUGGGAAACACGGCGCAAGCUGUGGCUUGUGGAUGGGCC
rnacentral:rRNA from 1 species